UACGAAGGGGGCUAGCGUUGUUCGGAUUUACUGGGCGUAAAGCGCACGUAGGCGGAUCGUUAAGUCGGGGGUGAAAUCCUGGAGCUCAACUCCAGAACUGCCUUCGAUACUGGCGAUCUUGAGUCCGGAAGAGGUGAGUGGAACUCCUAGUGUAGAGGUGGAAUUCGUAGAUAUUAGGAAGAACACAGUGGCGAAGGCGGCUCACUGGUCCGGUACUGACGCUGAGGUGCGAAAGCGUGGGGAGCAAACAGG
rnacentral:rRNA from 1 species